GAUGAACGCUGGCGGCGUGCCUAAUACAUGCAAGUCGAGCGGUAAGGCUCCUUCGGGAGUACACGAGCGGCGGACGGGUGAGUAAUACGUAGGAACGUACCCCAAAGUGAGGAAUAACCAGCCGAAAGGUUGGCUAAUACCGCAUAUGCUCUACGGAGUAAAGCAGCAAUGCGCUUUGGGAAAGGCCUGCGUCCGAUUAGCUAGUUGGUAAGGUAAAGGCUUACCAAGGCGACGAUCGGUAGCUGUUCUGAGAGGAUGAUCAGCCACACUGGAACUGAGCCACGGUCCAGACUCCUACGGGAGGCAGCAGUAGGGAAUUUUCCACAAUGGGCGAAAGCCGGAUGGAGCAACGCCGCGUGCAGGAUGAAGGCCUUAGGGUUGUAAACUGCUUUUAUCUGUGACGAUUAUGACAGUAGCAGAUGAAUAAGGAUCGGCUAACUCCGUGCCAGCCGCCGCCGUAA
rnacentral:rRNA from 1 species